GGGGAUCUGCCCGAUAGAGGGGGAUAACCACUGGAAACGGUGGCUAAUACCGCAUAACGUCGCAAGACCAAAGAGGGGGACCUUCGGGCCUCUCACUAUCGGAUGAACCCAGAUGGGAUUAGCUAGUAGGCGGGGUAAUGGCCCACCUAGGCGACGAUCCCUAGCUGGUCUGAGAGGAUGACCAGCCACACUGGAACUGAGACACGGUCCAGACUCCUACGGGAGGCAGCAGUGGGGAAUAUUGCACAAUGGGCGCAAGCCUGAUGCAGCCAUGCCGCGUGUAUGAAGAAGGCCUUCGGGUUGUAAAGUACUUUCAGCGGGGAGGAAGGCGAUGCGGUUAAUAACCGCGUCGAUUGACGUUACCCGCAGAAGAAGCACCGGCUAACUCCGUGCCAGCAGCCGCGGUAAUACGGAGGGUGCAAGCGUUAAUCGGAAUUACUGGGCGUAAAGCGCACGCAGGCGGUCUGUUAAGUCAGAUGUGAAAUCCCCGGGCUUAACCUGGGAACUGCAUUUGAAACUGGCAGGCUUGAGUCUUGUAGAGGGGGGUAGAAUUCCAGGU
rnacentral:rRNA from 1 species